rnacentral:rRNA from 1 species
UACGAAGGGGGCUAGCGUUGCUCGGAAUCACUGGGCGUAAAGGGUGCGUAGGCGGGUUAUUAAGUCAGAGGUGAAAUCCUGGAGCUCAACUCCAGAACUGCCUUUGAUACUGGCGGUCUCGAGUCCGGGAGAGGUGAGUGGAACUGCGAGUGUAGAGGUGAAAUUCGUAGAUAUUCGCAAGAACACCAGUGGCGAAGGCGGCUCACUGGCCCGGUACUGACGCUGAGGUGCGAAAGCGUGGGGAGCAAACAGG